CUUGAACAAGUUGAUGCUUAUGAUGCGACCCCAGGUCAGGCGGGAGUACCCGCUGAAUUUAAGCAUAUCAAUAAGC
rnacentral:rRNA from 1 species